GUUCACGAAGCUAAACUAUAUCUGGACUGUUUUUAUUGAAUCUGUAGGUUCUGCAGUGCUUCAUUUUUUCUUCUGUAGGAUUUAUAGGGAGCGGUUUCAUUUUUAGAAGUUUACUGCAAAGAACGAGAACUUUUAAAGGGAACGAAAAUUAGAAAAUGGUCCGUGUGAAAGUUUCAGCUGUGUGACUGUCGAGUUGGAGAAACGACCUCAAAGCGUUAGUUUUACAGCGUCGUGUCCCAGCCAGGUUAAUAAUGAAUUUAUAUCUGUUUCGCCAAACCCUGUUUAAACGCUGUUUGAAAUACGCCAACAAAAAUGAAGUACAUGAGCGAGGUUAUUGGCUGCAAAUGUGCAGAUUCAAAACAUCUGCACCAAAAAACUUCUGCGAUUAUGAGAGCAUGAGACAGGCUUACAACGUACAAGUUCCUCAGCAGUUUAAUUUCGCCAAAGAUGUGCUCGAGCAGUGGGAAACAAAAGAAAAGAAUGGACAGAGGUCGUCUCUUCCAGCUCUGUGGUGGGUGAAUGACAGCGGAGAAGAGGUCAAAUGGAGUUUUGAGGAGUUGGGCUUCCACUCAAGAAAACUUGCAAAUGUUCUGCAUCAGGUGUGCAGUUUGGGAAGAGGGGACCGUGUGUUCCUUCUUUUACCCCGAGUCCCUGAGUGGUGGCUGGUUAAUGUAGCAUGUCUCAGAACAGGUACGGUUCUGAUCCCCGGCACCUCUCAGCUCACGGCUCGAGAUAUCCGCCACCGGCUGCAGUCGUCUGGGGCCAAGUGUGUAAUCACAGAUGAAACUUUGGCACCACUGUUGGACACAGUAGCCUCAGAAUGCCCUUCCAUCUCCGCUAAGCUUCUGCUGUCCCACAGGGCCAUGCACGGCUGGGGCAACCUGACAGAACUCAUGGGAAGAGUGUCAGAUGAUCAUGUUUGCGUGGACACCAGGAGUGAGGAGGCCAUGACUAUCUUCUUCACUAGUGGAACAACUGGCUCCCCAAAAAUGACCCAACAUAGCCACUGUAGUUACGGUCUGGGACUCACGGUGAAUGGCAGGUACUGGCUGGAUCUGACUGAGCAGGAUGUUUUUUGGAACACAUCGGAUACGGGUUGGGCCAAGUCUGCGUGGAGCAGCGUGUUUGCUCCAUGGAUCCAGGGAGCAUGUGUGUUUGUUCACCAUAUGCCGCGCUUUGAUACAAGUACAGUUCUCAAGACUUUGAGCAGCUAUCCCAUCACCACAUUCUGCACGGCACCAACAGCCUAUCGAAUGCUCGUACAGGAUGACAUAUCCAGGUAUAAGUUCCAGGCCCUUGAGCACUGUCUGUGUGCAGGAGAGCCCAUUAACCCAGAGGUGAUGUGGAAAUGGAAAGAGCUCACUGGACUGGACAUCUAUGAAGGAUACGGACAGACUGAGACUGUUUUAAUAGCAGGCACAUUCAAAGGCAUGAAGAUCAAACCAGGAUCUUUUGGGAAGGCAUCACCAGGAUAUGAUGUUCAGGUGGUAGAUGAAGACGGUUCUGUUGUGCCACAAGGACAAGAGGGAAACCUCGGCAUCAGAGUGAAACCAGACAAACCCUUCUCUCUUUUUACAGAGUAUACGGGGGAGCCGGAGCGCACAGCAGAAUGUUUCCAUGGUGAUUUCUACCUGACAGGAGACAGGGGAAUGAUGGACGAAGAAGGAUACCUGUGGUUCAUUGGCAGAGCUGAUGAUGUCAUCCUGUCCGCAGGGUACCGCAUUGGUCCAUUUGAGGUGGAAAAUGCUUUGAUAGAGCAUCCAGCUGUAGCAGAAUCUGCUGUGGUCAGCAGCCCUGAUCCGGUUCGAGGAGAGGUGGUGAAGGCUUUUGUAGUGCUGACAGCAGAUUUUAAAUUUAGAGACCAUAAGGAACUGAUCCAGGAACUGCAAACACAUGUGAAGACUGUCACGGCUCCUUAUAAAUAUCCACGCAAGAUUGAGUUUGUGGAUCAUCUGCCCAAGACAGUAAGCGGUAAAAUAAGGCGUGUGGAGUUAAGAAAGAAGGAAUGGGGACAGAAAACAAGCUGAAACUGGAAACAAGAAAACGAGUUUCUGUUGAAAUCACAUUCCACAUCUUUAUAUGCAACAUUCACAGAGUGCGCCUUUAUUCCUCAAGAGCAUGAUGUCAUGUGACUGAUGACAGAUGGCAGACACAAAUCUGAUCUUUGCUGAAUGAUGAGAGGAUUUUAAGGUUAUGAAGAUUUCUGAAUUUGUGGAAAUUUUACCCUACAGAGAGGAAUGCAGUGACUUUUCAGAUGACAAAUCUGUUGGUAAAAUUAGUUUUGACCACUAAUGGAGAUGGCGUCACUGCUAACGCCCACAAUGUAUGAAAAAUGAAAGGGUAAAUUUUUCAAACUGCUAAAACCAAGCUGUAAAUUGCCCACACUGGUUAUUCAAGGACCAUAGAGGCAGAAAUGUAGUGGCGCAGCACACUCACUAUAAUACAGUAAUGAGAGACAGGUGCUUGCGGAAUUGACCUGUUAAUGGGGCUUAUGUUUAUCGGGUGGAAAAACAGAGCCAUACUCUUUAUUACUGAAAUAUAUCAAGCCAAAAUGUGCCAGACAUCAACACAUUCAACUGCUUCCUGGCCUAUGUCAUUAAAUCAGACUUUGGAUGUUUGUUUUGACAGUCUGAAGGAUGUCAGUCUGAAAACAGCAGUUGUUUGUGCAUCUCAGAGUGAAUUGAAUCUGUCGGAUUUGGUUCGCAGCAACUGUUCUGAAUUGCUCAGACUGCAAACUGGCUGUCAAAACCUGUGAGCUGCUUACCUGUCCUUACAAAACAACAAGUACUGUGGCUGUACCAUGAAUAGUACCAAAUGGUAAUAUGGGUUUAAUGGUAUAGAGUGGGUUCCAGGUUUGAGAUUUGAAUAGAAAAGAAUGUCCUAUUCAGUAUGUUAUUAACAUUUAUUGAUAUAUUUAUAUUUUAGAAUUGUAAGUUAUAGAGGUCAUUCUACAGAAUUGGUUCAAAGUCAGAGUUGGAAUGUCUUGAAAAAAGACGUUUUUUUCCACAAAUUUUGUAUGUAUGCAAAUUGUAUAAUAUCCAAGGUACACAUUUCUAGUAACUGUACAGUUAAUUCUCAUAUUGUAUUUUCAGAAAGUUUUGGAAUAUUUUUCCUCUCCCCAAGUUUGUCACUACCGAGACACAAUAAUAAAUAAUUUAAUAUGAAAGAUUA